ACUCAAAUGAAUAGACGGGGACCCGCACAAGCGGUGGAACAUGUGGUUUAAUUCGAUGCUACGCGAAGAACCUCACCAGGAUUUGACAUACAGGAAGUAGUGAACUGAAAAGGGAACGACCCGUUAAGUCGGGAGCCUGUACAGGUGCUGCAUGGCUGUCGUCAGCUCGUGUCGUGAGAUGUUGGGUUAAGUCCCGCAACGAGCGCAACCAUUACCCCAUGUUGCUACCCCUUUUUGUUAUCGAAAGAUAACUGGAGGGCGCACUCUUGGGGGACUGCCUGGGAUAACCAGGAGGAAGGUGGAGAUGACGUCAAGUCAGUACGGCCUUUAUAUUCUGGGCUACACACGUGUUACAAUGGCUGAUACAGAGAGUUGCCAACCAGCAAUGGGGAGCUAAUCUCAAAAAAUCAGUCUCAGUUCGGAUAACAGUCUGCAAUUCGACUGUUUGAAGCCGGAAUCGCUAGUAAUGGGAGAUCAGCUCGCUCCCGUGAAUACGUUCCCGGGUCUUGUACACACCGCCCGU
rnacentral:rRNA from 1 species